UCUUUUUUUUUUUUUCUCUCAAUUCUUUUAUAUGAUAUGUGAUCCAUCUAUAAAAGAGAAUUGACAAAAGGAAAAAACUAAAAAACAGAAAAGACAAAAAAUUGAAUUCUGGUAUGUCACAGUUGAGGGACAUCGCAAAGCAAAUUGACUUCUUGGUCUCUUUCCGUGGUCAAGGCAAAAGCUCUCUGCGUCGUCUUUCUUGCUCUGCCUGAGCCUCCGCGUUGUAUUCCAAAAGGCGUAGCUCUCUCUCUCUUUCAGGGAAAUUUGCAAGCAAAGGUCCCAGGAAAUGGUGGUUUGCUUUCCGUCCACGCCCAAGAGGUUGGCUAUGACAAUAGGAUGCUUCAUUUCUGCUGCUGCUCUUUUUGCUUUUGGUGCUCAUAUCUCUUAUGUCAAUGUUGCCCCGCAACAAGCUCGAACCAAAGCUCGAAAUGAGUUUGUGAGAGAACGGCUGAAACAGAAGUAUGGCAAAUGAUAGAACACGCAGUAUUGGCAUAUCGCAGUUGGGUUUUCGGAUUGCAUGCCGUUGAAAGAAAAAAAUGACGAUUGUGAAUUUUAUGAUCAUACCAUUCAGGGAUGAACAUCCUGCUCUUGUUUUUCUUUUCUUUUUUUCUUUUUGUUUACAUUGUACGACAUACAACAGGGAUGAUAAAUGAUUUUGAUGGCCAUGAUUUGAUUGCAUUUGGAUGCAAUUGAUAGGUUUGAGAAUCAUAAUUGAAUCUGCGUUUUAAAAAUCUUUUGAGUGCAAUUUGGUGGAUAGUAAUGGUUACUUUCACAAAGAAAAGCAUGGUGGAAAGGUGCCUGAAUUGCUGCUUCUCUGGCUGCUCUGGUUUGCCAUCCAAGCUCCACCAUAAAGUGUUUCAAGCCCAAGCCACGACCCAUAUCCCCACAAAAACAAAAACCAGAAGACCCUUUCUGCUUCUCCACCAAAGGGUUCAAAACAACACGGUGUUGUAAUUGGAAAGGAAGUGCCUUCAAAACCCAAGGAAAAACCAUGCCCAAGGCAGCUUCUUCUUCUUCAUCUGCAAGCAAGUCCAAAAAGAGCACAAAGACAAAAGCCUAAAAACCCAUUAACUUGAUCUCGGAGCUUGUUGGAGGGGACCCUUCCAUUGGUGUUGUGGAGAGUAUUAUCCGCUCAGGUUGGGUUGGUGAAGUAGGCCUCACAAUUGAGAAGGUGUUGAAGGUGCACCACAGUUUGGAUGUUCUUCAUGGUUUUGAAGAGUAAAGGAAGAUGGUGAAAUCCAAGUAUGAAAAGGAUCGGAUUUGUAAGAGGGUGGAGAGGUUGGUGGUUGAUGGGAAUGAAUUUCCGCAAUUCCAUGGUGCCGCCGUUACUUGUUCAUUAGGGAUCAAUGGCUUAUCAACCAUUUGUAAAAAGAAAUGCCAAGUUUGCAGGAUAAUAGCUUCUGGCUUUGACACCGGAGAUAGGACCAUUUCUUCGUCCACGAAAGUUGGAAGGCACAUGAGAAGGCGGCCAAGGAAUGUGCUGAGAAAGGAGAGUGUGCAAGGAAGGCCAUUGUGGUGUGUGGAGUGAUUGCAGGGCGCAUUGCUCAUUAUCAUGCACAUGGACUCAUGGAUGAGGAAGAUGGUGAAUUUGAUUCUGCCAUGGAAUGGGGGGGAGCAAUUUAGUGAGCCCAAAAGGCUCGUGGUUUUGAAUUCGGAGGCUGUGCUUCCAUGCUUUGUAAUCAUAUAUAAUGUCAAAAAUAAAAAUAUUCCAUGAUUAGGAAGAUAACAGAUUUUCUUAUGACUGGAAAU